GACGAACGCUGGCGGCGUGCUUAACACAUGCAAGUCGAACGGACAGGCCCUGCUUUUGUGGGGUGCUCGAGUGGCGAACGGGUGAGUAACACGUGAGUAACCUGCCCUUGACUUUGGGAUAACUUCAGGAAACUGGGGCUAAUACCGGAUAGGAGCUCCUGCUGCAUGGUGGGGGUUGGAAAGUUUCGGCGGUUGGGGAUGGACUCGCGGCUUAUCAGCUUGUUGGUGGGGUAGUGGCUUACCAAGGCUUUGACGGGUAGCCGGCCUGAGAGGGUGACCGGCCACAUUGCGACUGAGGUACGGACCAGACUCCUACGGGAGGCAGCGGUGGGGAGUAUUGCACAAUGGGCGGAAGCCUGAUGCAGCAACGCCGCGUGCGGGAUGCCGGCCUUCGGGUUGUAAACCGCUUUCGCCUGUGACGAAGCGUGAGUGACGGUAAUGGGUAAAGAAGCACCGGCUAACUACGUG
rnacentral:rRNA from 1 species